AUUGAACGCUGGCGGCAGGCCUAACACAUGCCAGUCGAGCGGAUGAAGGGAGCUUGCUCCUGGAUUCAGCGGCGGACGGGUGAGUAAUGCCUAGGAAUCUGCCUGGUCGUGGGGGAUAACGUCCGGAAACGGGCGCUAAUACCGCAUACGUCCUGAUGGAGAAAGUGGGGGAUCUUCGGACCUCACGCUAUCAGAUGAGCCUAGGUCGGAUUAGCUAGUUGGUGGGGUAAAGGCCUACCAAGGCGACGAUCCGUAACUGGUCUGAGAGGAUGAUCAGUCACACUGGAACUGAGACACGGUCCAGACUCCUACGGGAGGCAGCAGUGGGGAAUAUUGGACAAUGGGCGAAAGCCUGACCCAGCCAUGCCGCGUGUGUGAAGAAGGUCUUCGGAUUGUAAAGCACUUUAAGUAGGGAGGAAGGGCAGUAAGUGAAUACCUGGCUGUUUUGACGUUACCAACAGAAUAAGCACCGGCUAACUUCGUG
rnacentral:rRNA from 1 species